rnacentral:rRNA from 1 species
UAAAGCGGGUGAAAAGCCCGCUCGCCGGAAGACCAAGGGUUCCUGUCCAACGUUAAUCGGGGCAGGGUGAGUCGACCCCUAAGGCGAGGCCGAAAGGCGUAGUCGAUGGGAAACGGGUUAAUAUUCCCGUACUUGGUGUUACUGCGAAGGGGGGACGGAGAAGGCUAUGUUGGCCGGGCGACGGUUGUCCCGGUUUAAGCGUGUAGGCUGGUUUUCCAGGCAAAUCCGGAAAAUCAAGGCUGAGGCGUGAUGACG